AUCUAUGGCCAUACCAUCCUGAACGCGCCCGAUCUCGUUUAAUCUCGGAAGCUAAGCAGGGUUGGGCCUGGUUAGUAUUCAAAUGGGAGGAAAGACAUAAGAAAAAUAAUAAAUG
rnacentral:rRNA from 1 species